rnacentral:rRNA from 1 species
GACGAACCGUGCGAACGGUGUUCGGAAUCACUGGGCUUAAAGGGCGCGUAGGCGGGUUCCCAAGUCCGGUGUGAAAUCUUUCGGCUCAACCGGGAAAUAGCCUUGGAUACUGGGAUGCUGGAGGGAGGUAGGGGCGGCGGGAACUUCCGGUGGAGCGGUGAAAUGCGUUGAUAUCGGAAGGAACGCCGGUGGCGAAAGCGGGCUGCUGGUCCUCUGCUGACGCUGAGGCGCGAAAGCCAGGGGAGCAAACGGG